UUUUAUACGACCGCAAAAAUUGAAAAUUUUUUGGUCGUAUAUUGGUAUGACGUUGGCGUCGUCGUCGUCGUCGUCGUCGUCGUUGUCGUCGUCGUCGUCGUCGUCGUCGUCGUCGUCCGGCGUCGUCUGGCGUCGUCCGAAGACACAUUGGUUUUCGCACUCUAACUUUAGUUUAAGUGAAUGGAUCUCCAUGAAAUUUUACCAUAAGGUUCAAUACCAUGAAAGGAAGGUUGGGAUUGAUUUUGGGGGUUAUGGUACCAACAGUUAAGGAAUUAGGGGCCAAAAAGGGGCCAACAAUAAGCAUUUUUGUAACUUCCAGACAAUAACUUGUGUGUAAGUGUAUGGAUCUCUCUGACAUUGUACCACAAGGUUCCAUAUCACAAAAGGAAUGCUGGGAUUGAUUUUGGGGGUAAUUGCCUCAAAAUGUUAGGAAUUAGGGGCCAAAAAAAGGGCAAAAAACAAGCAUUUUUCUAGUUUCAUGACAAUAACUUGUGUGUAAGUGUUUGGAUAUUUAUGAAAUUGUACUACAAGGUUCCAUAUCACAAAGGGAAAGCUGGAAUUGAGUUUGGGGGUAAUUGCCCGAAAUGUUUAGGAAUUGGGGGCCAAAAAGGGGCCAAAAAUAAGCAUUUUUCUAGUUUCCAGACAAUAACUUGUGUUCAAGUGUAUGGAUCUCUCUGAAAUUGUACUGCAAGGUACCAUACCACAAAGGGAAGGCUGAGAUUGAGUUUGGGGGUGAUGAAUCAUAAGGGGGUUCAAAAAAUUUUGGGGGGGGAUUUUUUUUUUUCUUUUUUUUUUCUUUUUUCCCUUUUUUUUUUCUUUUAAAAUUUUCCAUUUUAAGUUGGUUAUUUCUGAUUUAUAUUUAAAAGCAAAUAAUAAUGAUAUGGAAGGAGAUACACACCAAACAGGAUGUGUAAAUUAUUAUAUAAUAAGUAUUGUGCAAUAGCAAGAAAUUUUCAAUUGCACAGUAUUGCACAAUAGCAAGAAAUCUUCAAUUGCACAGUAUUGCGCAAUAGCAAGAAAUCUUCAAUUGCACAGUAUUGCGCAAUAGCAAGAAAUAUCCAAUAGCACAAUAUUGCGCAAUAGCAAGAAAUUGUCAAUUGUACAGUAUUGCGCAAUAGCAAGAAAUAAUCAAUUGCACAGUAUUGUGCAAAAGAAGAUACUUCGUAUAAAUUGCUUAUUUCUUGAUCAAUUUCAAUGGGGUUUUAUUCUUGAAUUCUUGGGGUUCUUUAAUAUGCUGAAUCUAACCGUGUAUUAAGUUUUUGGAUUUUGGGCCCCGUUUUUAAAUUGGUCCACAUUGAGGUCCAAAGGGUCCAAAAUUUAACUUUGUUGGAUUUCAUCAAAAAUUGAAUUAUUGGGGUUCUUUGAUAUGCCGAAUCUAACCGUGUAUUUAGAUUCUUAAUUUUUGGUUCCGUUUUCAAAUUGGUCUACAUAAAGGUCCAAAGGGUCCAAAAUUAAACUUUGUUUGAUUUUAGCAAAAAUUGAAUAUAUGGGGUUCUUUGAUAUGCUGAAUCUAACCAUGUAUUUAGAUUUUUGAUUAUGGGCCCAGUUUUCAAGUUGGUCCAAAUCGGGGUCCAAAAUUAAACUUUGUUUGAUUUCAACAAAAAUUGAAUAUAUGGGGUUCUUUGAUAUGCUGAAUCUAACCAUGUAUUUAGAUUUUUGAUUAUGGGCCCAGUUUUCAAGUUGGUCCAAAUCGGGGUCCAAAAUUAAACUUUGUUUUAUUUCAACAAAAAUUGAAUAUAUGGGGUUGUUUGAUAUGCUGAAUCUAACCAUGUAUUUAGAUUUUUGAUUGUUGGGCCCCGUUAUCAACUUUGUCCACAUUGAGAUCAAAAGGGUCCAAAAUUAAACUUUGUUUGAUUUCAUCAAAAAUUGAAUAUAUGGGGUUCUUUGAUAUGCUGAAUCUAACCAUGUAUUUAGAUUUUUGAUUAUGGGCCCAGUUUUCAAGUUGGUCCAAAUCGGGGUCCAAAAUUAAACUUUGUUUGAUUUCAACAAAAAUUGAAUAUAUGGGGUUCUUUGAUAUGCUGAAUCUAACCAUGUAUUUAGAUUUUUGAUUUUUGGGCCCUGUUAUCAUUUUUGUCCAUAUUGAGAUCAAAAGGGUCCAAAAUUAAACUUUGUUUGAUUUCAUCAAAAAUUGAAUUCUUGGGGUUCUUUGAUAUGCUGAAUCUAACCAUGUAUUUAGAUUUUGGAUAUUGGACCAUAAUAGGUGAAUGUCCAAUUUAAAAUUUUUAAGUUCUUAGACCACAUUCAUUCUGUGUCAGAAACCUAUGCUGUGUCAAAUAUUUAAUCACAAUCCAAAUUCAGAGCUGUAUCAAGCUUGAAUGUUGUGUCCAUACUUGCCCCAACUGUUCAGGGUUCGACCUCUGCGGUCGUAUCAAGCUGCGCCCUGCGGAGCAUUUUAUUUGUAAUAGAUUUAAAUGUCAAAUAACUUGUUCUUCUAACUCUAUGAAGCAUUGUGAAUUGUUACAGAUUUUUAUGACAAGUAAAUGUUUAAAGUUCAGCUGUCUAUGUGAUGCUUUUAUACUUAUUAAAAAGCUAUUUAAUUGGAACGCAUAUUAAAAUAUUUAUAAGUAUGUUCAUUAACUAGUUGUACAGUUUUUGUUGCAUUGUUUUAAUUGCAUGUACAUGUACAUGUACCUGAAAAUGCACAACAAAAAACUACCGUCCUACAAUAUUCCUAUACCGUAUUUAAGUCUACAUGAUAAAUAUUUAUAAUUUUAAUUAUGUAAUAUGAAAUUCCAUUGCUUAAUCUAUUUCUGACUUUUCAUAUUAUUCAAACCAAUUUUUGUGUAGACUCUGACACAAUAUGAAAAUAUUUGAAAAAAUAGAAAACAAGAUAUGAAAUUAUGUUAUUACCUUCAAAUUAUGUAACAUAUUGUCAAAAGUUUAAGCAUUGUAACUAUUGUGUCACAUGUAGUGAUAUCUAGAUUUACUGUAGGUAUUUAUUGCACCAAUAUCUCAAAAUAAAUUUAAUACGUAUGGCCACUUUCUACUUAAAGUGUACCCACACAGCGUAUUUGUCCGUUGAAACUAAUUUUGAAAGGUCACAUUUAAUUUCAUUCCAGCUUAUAUUUUUACAUGAUUUUUUAUAAUAAUUUUAUAAUUUUUUCUUGUAAUUUCUUGUUUUUGCUUAUUAUGUACAAGUGAAAUAAAAUAUUAGAAGUA